GUGAGGAAUAUUGCGCAAUGGAGGCAACUCUGACGCAGCCAUGCCGCGUGCAGUAAGAAGGCGCUACGCGUUGUAAACUGCUUUUAACCGGGAAGAAACCCCAGGACGUGUCCUGGGUUGACGGUACCGGAGGAAUAAGCACCGGCUAACUUCGUGCCAGCAGCCGCGGUAAUACGAAGGGUGCAAGCGUUAUCCGGAUUCAUUGGGUUUAAAGGGUGCGUAGGCGGAGCGUUAAGUCAGUGGUGAAAUCCUGCAGCUUAACUGUAGACUUGCCAUUGAUACUGGAGCUCUUGAGUGCGCUUGAAGUGGGCGGAAUGUGCCGUGUAGCGGUGAAAUGCUUAGAUAUGGCACAGAACACCAAUUGCGAAGGCAGCUCACUAAGGCGAUACUGACGCUGAGGCACGAAAGCGUGGGGAUCGAACAGGAUUAGAAACCCUUGUAGUCC
rnacentral:rRNA from 1 species